GACGAACGCUGGCGGCGUGCUUAACACAUGCAAGUCGAGCGAGGACAUUUAGCAAUAGAUGUUCGAGCGGCGGACGGGUGAGUAACGCGUGAGCAAUCUGUCCCAGACAGGGGAAUAACAGAUGGAAACAUCUGCUAAUACCGCAUAAGACCACGACCUGACAUCGGGUUGGGUAAAAGGUGAAAGCCGGUUUGGGGUGAGCUCGCGUCCGAUUAGCUAGUUGGCGGGUAACGCCACAAGGCGACGAUCGGUAGCCGACCUGAGAGGGUGAUCGGCCACACUGGAACUGAGAGACGGUCCAGACUCCUACGGGAGGCAGCAGUGGGGAAUAUUGGGCAAUGGGGGAAACCCUGACCCAGCAACGCCGCGUGAGGAAGAA
rnacentral:rRNA from 1 species